rnacentral:lncRNA from 1 species
GGUGUUGCCAGCACUGUCACAAGCAAUGGGAACCUGAUGGUGCCCUGUUCAUGUUAGUGCUAAUACUUCGCAGGAAAGGGGAAUAAUCGCCUUCCUUCCUCAUGGAUUUGCAGCUAAGUGUGGGGGAGAGACAGUUCUGUUCUGAUAUUUUGUGUAUUAUUUUGCUAGUUCGGCCUUAAGAAAAUGUGGCCGCGAGUACAGGUAUCACGAAUUGUUGGCGACAUGGGAUAUACGUGCUUUGACGUGACUUGUUUGGACAACACCAAUUCAGACACAAGCUGGCGACGGUUUGCUCACUAGCAGGGAGAUGGUAUCUAUUGGAUCUAAGGGUAUGGACGUAUAAAGCAGGAGGAGGCGAGGGGAAGAUGAGUGGCCACUCGACACAUAGAUGUGCCUAACACAUCACUGUCACACAUCUGAUGAGCAGAUGUACGAUCCUGACGAUGGAGGAAGCGGGCAUUCACGACUGAUCAGUUAACUUGAAAGAGCAAAAAAAAAACCAACCUGGGAAUAGGCCGAAAUGACCGGACACAGGACUCUGACUGUUUUGUUUUUAUAUUGAUGUCUUCAGUAAUUCCAACCCUCCUGGAUCUACCAAGCGGAUAAACUGAAAAUAACCACUCAAACUCUUUGCAGCGUCCUUAGCAUUAGAGGGAAAAGUCAUCCAAACGAACCGUUUUGAGACACCGAAAGGAGACGAAGAGAUGGCACGAAUGAGUACAUGCGGACUUUCCAAUAACGCUAUGAAGAAGAUUAAGUGGGCGUUAGGAUUCUAUCGUCAAUGGCAAGGUCAGCGCAUCCAGUGAGCCAUCAAUAUUCGUCUUGAGGAUAUGACCAAAGAUGAGCUUAAGUAUUCGAUCGCAAGAUUUCUGUGCGAGAUAAACAAACAAAACGGAGAGAAAUUUCCAGGAGCAACACUUCACAAACUCAUGAUUUGUCUUCAGCUUUAUUUUGACACCAUGAAUAAGGCCUACAAAUUUCUGCAAGAUCCUGACUUCUUACUGAUCAAGAAUACACUGGAUGGACUUUAUGAAGGAUCGUGCCAAGGAGGGUAUGGGGAUUCAACGUAAGCAAGCUGAGGUUAUAACCUUGGAGGAGGAGGAACUAAUGUAGUCCGCUGGCGUUCUAGGAAGCGAUAACCUGACCAGGUUUUUGAACGCACUGAUUUAUCUCAUUGGAUUAAACCUUUGUACUACCUGGGGGUCAAGAACACAGGAAUCUACGACACCACAAUUCGCAGCUUUCUGUUCAGACGGGGACGGUGGGGAGUUUCUUCGAUACGUUGAAGAUGUAUCCAAGACAAACCAAGGAGGGCUAAAACGCCGCCAAAUUAAGUCCACAGUUUUUGAGGCUCAUGAAAACAAAGCCAAUCCGUCCCGCUGCAUUGUGAGACUGUAUGAAAAGUAUCUUCAGCACUGUCCAGCUGACCGAGUAACAGACGCCUUUUACCGUAGACCUCUGGCUAAUCCUAAAGGCGAUGUGCGGUCCACUGCACAGCAAUUGGGCCGUCAUAAACUUUCCUCUGUCGUGUCAGAUUUUUGCAAAAGUGCAGGUAUUCUGGGACAUCGCACAACUCACUCCCUCCGUGCAAGUGCAGCAACUCGGAUGUACGAGGAGGUAGAUGAGCAACUUAUCUGCAUAGAGACCAGACACAGGUCCAACGCAGUGAGAUGAUACAAACGCAUCAGUGACGCACUCAAACGCAGGGUCAACUGUGUGGUUCAGGGUAUUCCAACAGAAGAGAAUACAGGCAAGAAAAGGCCUCCUCGACUGGGACUGCUGCAGUGCAUCAUAAUGAGCGCGAAAGAAAUAUUGCACUGACCCUGAAUUUAAACAAUUAACAUCUGCUAUUUACAUCAUGUAUUUUUGUACAAAAUGCGUAAACUGCAUGUAUUGAUAAACCGUACACCAUAAAAUUAAUGAGUUUAAGAAAAAUAGGAUUUUACUAAAUCUGUCUCGCAUAAUCCAAAUUACUGUUUACAAAUCAGCCGGAGCUUUGAAACAUAAAAACAUGAGACUUGUGAAGCUUGUUUAUAGUUUGGUAAAGUGCACAUUGGAACAAAUGGUACGUUUACAUCUUUAAUAAAUUCUAUCAUUAUUGGUACAAAAAUUAAGUUUGUAAUGUUUUAAGAAUGAUUUCCAUUGAACAUUCCUCCAAAAAUAAGUAACCAAAAACUUCAUUAUUUUGUAGGAAUAAAGUGGUGGAGACGUUGCCCUUCCAAAGAAUGGAGAGAUGAUGUCUCCAUCGCUCCAUUCGUACAAAAUAAUGCAGCGGCAAAACAAUACGGUGACGUCACGGGAUGGAGGUUAAAUAAUGGAGAUCAAUGGUGCAACCAUACACAGACACACGUGCGCACGCGCUUUGUUCCCGAAAGACCUUGAUAUUUUGAAGUAGAGCCUGAAAGUUGACCUUGAUGGCGCGCUUCAGGGAUCCUUGGAUAGAAAAAAAAGGUAAAUGUUUAGAACUCGUAAAAUUCUGUCUUUAAAUUCCUUCUUAAAAUCUCAACUUUCAAAAGGCCUUUUGUAAAAUGUUUGCUAGCAUAUGAAUUUAUAGAAACUGAAAAAAAUACCUGUCCUAAAAGACAAAUACAGUGCCAAAGAUUGACCUAUCACUUCCGAAAAUAAUGCACGAAGAACAAUCCAAUGCUGUGGUCUCGAACGCAGGUGAACAGUUAUGGAAUUAUACUUUAUGGUAGUCUUUUAGUAAUAGCCAAAAUAAAAACGGACCAAAUAUGUUAACGAAUUUGUAAUUAAUAACAAAAGAUUCUAAGGUCUAAUCUAACCAUGGAAGAAACUUUGCUGACAAGAACUGUGUCAGGUGAACUCCACUGAAUCUAGAACCCAUCCACUGCAGGUAGAUAAAUCUGGCCGACGUUGUAUACAGUCUAAUUUUGACGUAAGCUAACAACUUCAAAGUCAGGCAGUAAAAAAAAAACGUUUAAACCCUGAGACGGAGCCCAAGUCAGAAAUUGGAAAACGUCCCAUGGAAUGAUAUUCCCGGAAGUGAAAGGUCGUUAAUGAAAUUCGUUUUUUACCCAUCUCCAUGAGACUUUUCAAAAAUUACUUGAGGACAAAGGAGACAUUCCCAUGUAAGUGUUUCUUGGGGUGGUUUCAUUUAGAAAUAUUACCGUGUCCUCUUUUCUUCCUCUAUCUAACAUAUUUUCUCGAAGAAAGAAAACAAUCGAAGACAUCAUGUACUGGUCUACACUUUUCCGUCUUUGUUUCGUGAAAGGAAGGCUCCGCGCUAAUUUGUUUGUCUCCAACAGCUAUGCCUAAGACAGCACAGACUUCAUUCCUGAUAUCAACGAGCAUACUCUCAUUGUAAAAACGAUCAGACUAAGGAUGGAUUUUAUGAAUUUGUAAUGUUAUUCUACGUUUUGUGUCAAAGAGCCCCUUGAAGGUUAUGAUAUAUUUCAACUGACCGCUGUUAUAUUAAGUCUAUUAAGAUGCAGUAAAAGUAUCUGCCAUAGAUGGGAACAGUGAAAUUCAGAUGAAACAGAAGCCUGCAUAGUAAUUACUAAUUAAAAUCCAAGGAUUUAUAUGAAUGUUGCAUUUUGACUUGGGCAAAAAUCCUCAGAAGUUAAUUCAUCCCGGCUAACAACUGCUUCCAUUUAAUACUAACACGAACACUGACUGCCAUGCUCACUAUUCAACCAUCCACCAGGGACACAGUACUAAAGCAGCCCAAGGCAAAUGUAACGUUCAUACUUAGAAAUUCUUUAGUAAAUGUGUAAAAGCAGUAGGUGCAAAACUACAUCCUCUGAGUUUUAAUGUUCCUGGCGCCUCAAUGUAAUGUUUAACACCGAAACUACACUGCAGUUUGAAGUAUCUUGUAAGCUUGGAAAUUGAAUUCUUUAUGGUUGUGUGAGAUAUGUCACAUAAUGGGAAAAAGCACGGACGACUUCGUCUGGAUGUCGUCGGAAAUGGCAUUCCAUAAACGGGGACUGAAAAAGCGAAGGGUGUUCACUGAGUAGACGGCGCGAGUGAAGGGAAUAAACAUAAUUGCUAUGGGAUCUAGUGGAGUAACCAUGGAUUUCAUUGACCGAAGUGAAGUACGAAGAAAACGUACUAGGAAGAAGAUUUAUUGAUGUAUAUGAACAUGAAGAUAUCAGUGUGUAAGUUGUGAUGUCGGUAACAGUGAGGGUGCUUAAACGUGCAAAAGGGGUGAAGUGUGGGCCCCGAUAGUGAGACCAGGUGUGGGUACCAAUCGCCCUUUUUUUGAGUGAUAAGCGAAGCGUUCAAAUUUGUUAUUCGUUGUGCGUGCCCAAACGAUGUUGUCAUAACUUACAUACGGAAGAAUAGAGAAAUGUACUAUAACACCAAAGAGGUACUC